CCUACGGGAGGCAGCAGUGGGGAAUAUUGGACAAUGGGCGGAAGCCUGAUCCAGCAACGCCGCGUGAGGGAUGACGGCCUUCGGGUUGUAAACCUCUUUCAGCACAGGCGAAGCUGCCAUCACGUGUGGUGGUGGUGACGGUAUGUGCAGAAGAAGCACCGGCCAACUACGUGCCAGCAGCCGCGGUAAUACGUAGGGUGCGAGCGUUGUCCGGAAUUAUUGGGCGUAAAGGGCUCGUAGGCGGUUUGUCGCGUCGGGAGUGAAAUCCACUGGCUUAACUGGUGGCUUGCUUUCGAUACGGGCAGACUGGAGGUAUGCAGGGGAGAACGGAAUUCCUGGUGUAGCGGUGAAAUGCGCAGAUAUCAGGAGGAACACCGGUGGCGAAGGCGGUUCUCUGGGCAUGUCCUGACGCUGAGGAGCGAAAGUGUGGGGAGCGAACA
rnacentral:rRNA from 1 species